rnacentral:rRNA from 1 species
GUGCCAGCAGCCGCGGUAAGACGAACCGUGCGAACGUUAUUCGGAAUCACUGGGCUUAAAGCGCGUGUAGGCGGGCCGGCACGUCGGUCGUUGAAAUCCCCCGGCUCAACCGGGGAACGGGCGCGGAUACGACCGCCCUCGAGGGGCGUAGGGGGACCUGGAACUUCCGGUGGAGCGGUGAAAUGCGUUGAGAUCGGAAGGAACGCCCGUGGCGAAAGCGAGGUCCUGGACGCCAUCUGACGCUGAGACGCGAAAGCCAGGGGAGCGAACGGGAUUAGAAACCCUGGUAGUCC